GUCUUUUGUCUCUCCAUAUAAACCUUAGCAUAAGUUUGUCAAUAUCCACAAAAUAACUUGUUGGGAUUUUGAUUUGAAUUGUGUUGAAUCUAUAGGUCUAACUGAAAAUAACCAACGUCUUGACAGUAUUGAAUCUUUCUACUCAUGUAUUGUGUUUUUAAGUUUCACUUGUCCUUUGCUGGUAUAUAGGAAAGUGAUUGAAUUUUGUACAUUAACCUUAUAUCUGGCAACUGUUGAAUGGUAAAGACCUUUCCUUGGUUAUACAGCUAAUGUGAUUUUUGGUAGAGACAGGGUUUCACCAUCUUGGCCAGGCUGGUCUCAAACUCCCAACUUCAGGUGAUCCAUCCACCUCGGCCUCCCAAAGUGCUGGGAUUAGAUGUGUGAGCUGCUGCACCUGGCCUAUUAUCUUUUAUUUUGUGGUCCACACUGGUGUCAACUCAUCCCAUCACAUUGGCCUGGAUCAUCAGCAUGUCCUUUGCCCCUGACCACAGUGAUUGUUUCAGUGACAGCCAUGUGACUAAACAUAAAUCAGUAAGAGCCAGCCACAGAUUUGGCCUGGAACUGCUGGAAAAACAGCCUCUCUCUGAGUGUACGGGUGCUUGUGAGGUCUGAGCAAGAAAGCUGGGGUUUAUCACAAUUGUGUUCCUUCCACAGCAGGAUCUCUUCAUUCCUCUACAAAUCUCUUUUGAAAGGAAGAGUAAAGGAGGAAGGAACACG
rnacentral:lncRNA from 1 species